GAGGACGCUUAAACUCUUUGUUUUUAUAAGCAUUUCUGAGUGGCCGAAAGGCAAAAAUACAAAUGAAUCAAAACUUUCAACAACGGAUCUCUUGGUUCUGGCAUCGAUGAAGAACGCAGCGAAAUGCGAUAAGUAAUGUGAAUUGCAGAAUUCAGUGAAUCAUCGAAUCUUUGAACGCACAUUGCGCCCGCCAGCAUUCUGGCGGGCAUGCCUGUUCGAGCGUCAUUUCAACCCUCGAGCCCGACUCUUUUGAGGACGGCUCGGCGUUGGGGGACGGCAGACUCCCCCCGGCAUCUCGCCGGGGACGCCGCCCCCGAAAUCUAGUGGCGGCCCUCCGAGGCGACCUCUGCGUAGUAACUUGUUCUCGCACCGGAAAGCUCAGAGCGGCCACGCCGUAAAACCCCAACUUUUUUCAGGUUGACCUCGAAUCAGGU
rnacentral:rRNA from 1 species